AUACGGAGGGUGCGAGCGUUAAUCGGAAUUACUGGGCGUAAAGCGUACGUAGGGGGUUGGUUAAGUUAGAUGUGAAAGCCCCGGGCUUAACCUGGGAACUGCAUUUAAAACUGGCGAACUAGAGUUGAGUAGAGGGGUGUGGAAUUUCAGGUGUAGCGGUGAAAUGCGUAGAGAUCUGAAGGAACACCAGUGGCGAAGGCGACUCCCUGGACUCGAACUGACGCUGAGGUACGAAAGCGUGGGGAGCAAACGGAAUUAGAAACCCUAGUAGUCC
rnacentral:rRNA from 1 species